rnacentral:rRNA from 1 species
UACGUAGGGGGCAAGCGUUGUCCGGAAUCAUUGGGCGUAAAGAGCGCGUAGGCGGUCCGGUAAGUCCGCUCUGAAAGUCCGGGGCUCAACCCCGGGAGGCGGGCGGAUACUGUCGGGCUAGAGUCCGGAAGAGGCGAGUGGAAUUCCUGGUGUAGCGGUGAAACGCGCAGAUAUCAGGAGGAACACCGGUGGCGAAGGCGGCCUCUGGACAGUGACUGACGCUGAGACGCGAAAGCGUGGGAGCAAACAGG